GGGGGGGGGGCACGGACCUAGAAGGCAAUGGCAGUUAGUGAGCAUUAGUGUGUGAAGGGAGUCAGUUUUCCGGACGUUAUUAUCAGCAAAUUGAUGCCAUCUCCCCCAGAUUUCCAGACUGAGGAGGACUUUAAGGAGCUGCCUUUGACCUUGAUAGUGACCUUGACUUGGACACUGGAUGGACAGGCUCCUGACAAUGGUUGCCACAAAACACUCCACACCCCUGCUGCCAAGGUGUCAAAACGCAUACAUGGCAACUGAACAGAUAAGCAUCUUCAAAUACUUGGGAGCAGUAUUUCAAGCUUCUGGAUUGGUUCCUCUGAUGUUAGUUGAAGAGAUUUUUCCCACAUCGAAUUGAUCAACAGAGAUUAUUGUAUUAUAUCGUUUCUCACAGGAAGUCCUUAUAAAGAUGGGUUUGGAGUAUGCUAAGAGAGCACUUAGAUGAUGGACGAAGGUGAUGAAUAUGGAAAGUCAAUCUUGCCUUCCAAGAGAUCUAUUCGUCAGCAACCAAUUUUUUUAUUUUAAGACCAAGCUAUUUGAACCAGAUAACAGUGUCAAAAUUUAGAAGAGCUUGGACCCUUGCUCAUUUUAAUGUCCUUCCUACAGCUGUAUUAGAAGGAAAGUAUAAGAAAAUUCCAUAUGUAGCUCAGCUAUGCCCUUGCAGUUCAGGUGCUAUUGAAUCAACCAUUCAUGUCCUCCUAUACUGCCUUUUUUCUAAGGAUAUCCAAACCUGUUUUAUCACCCCCUUUAUAGUAAAUUUUCCAGACCAUACAGAUCUAUUUUAUCUUCAAUAUUUACUGUCUGAACAGAAUGAUUUAAUUUCUUUAAAUGUUGCAAAAUUUUGUUUUAUAGCUUGUAACAAUAGUCAACACUUGGUUAAUUUGCCUUAGUUAUUGUUUCAAUUUAAUGGCUUGUAAUCCAAUCAUUUUGUUUUGCUUAAUGUUUGCUGUGUUCCGCUGGUCAAUGACCAUAAUAACGGAUUGAUUGAUUAAUGGAUACAAGUUCAUUCAUGAAUAUUUACAUAAAAUAGGAAAGCUAAAUAUGAAAAAUCUAAGAUAAUAAAUGCGAGAAUAAUCAAAUAUAAAACAGGUAUGUUACUCGCAAAUACACCCCCCACCACCACCUUCUUAUAUGGCAUGCCAGCAUAGGGGAUGAGGUUUAGGGUUUUUUCUGACUUUGCAGAGAAGAGCUGGGGAGUGAAAGAUGACUCAUCAGUGUCCCCUGCUGCUCUUGUCGUUUGGUUCUCAAAACAGCUGAGAAGAGCUUCUUGGGGCUGCUGAAAUCCGAUUCCUUCUGCCACACCCUAGAAAGGAGAGCUAUCUCAAAAAUAAUUGGCACCUAUCACAUUUGAAUAGUUUAACUCUCUCAUAUGUCUGAGGUAGAUUAGACCCAUUUCCCUAUCACAUAGAUCUCAUCUCCUAGCAGUGGUACUGUGACUGCUUCUGUCUGAUGGUGACCUCCUUUAUUUUGCAUUUUACUUCAGAACUUGUAGUGCUCAGUGCUGUUGUUUGGCUUUUAUCACCCUCCAGCCUUGUACCUCAAAAGGUGGAAGGGAUGCUGAGUUCCUUAUAAGGGUCAGAGGGCCCAGGACUUAACACAAAUAACUACACAUUCAACAGACAUUCAAUAGGGGUGACUUUGUCUUCUAUAUAAAGCUUGAAGUAGCACCUGUUGAAAUUCUGCCUGUACUUCAGCAGCAUGAUAACCUGAAUGUUAACUCCACCUACUGAAUAUCUGUCUCUCCUUCAGCUGUUGCAGGGCAGAUUCCUGGACCACAGACUUCCCCUGGGCACCACAAAACUUCUGAUGCUGAUUUCUGUCCCCUCUCUGCUCCCUUACAGGGAGACAGUUUCCUGCUCUGCCCUCAAGGGCUCACAUAGUUAAUUACUUUUUUUGGUUGUUUUUCUUUCUAUACAGAUAGCUAUAAACAAGCUGUUGCCUUUGUUUAUGUGGCUGCACUGAAAAAGUGAGAAACUGGCACCAGUAUCAAUAGAGUACUACUGGAAGAAGGUGAAGUUUACCAACAUAGGGACAAAUGUAAUGUCUAUUUAUAGCACUAGUCUGGGGACUACAUCAUAUGUAGCUCUGAAACAAACAGGCAAAAAUGUUUUAUUUCCUGUGUUGGCUACUGCAAGCAAGUGUAAUAUUUCCAGCAGCCUUCUUCAUUCACAUAGCUUGCAGUGAAACAUGUGAACUUCCACUCCAUAAUCAUAGUCAAUGGUUCUGAUUACAUAGAGGUAGAGGUAAAGGUAAAGUGUGUCGUCGAGUCGGUGUCAACUCCUGGCAACCACAGAGCCCUGUGGUUGUCUUUGAUAGAAUACAGGAGGGGUUUACCAUUGCCAUCUCUAUGCCCUCAGAAUAACUUGAAGGGAGAUUAUGCUAACUCCCAGUGGAACAGCGCCUUUGCACUGGUCAAGUGAAGGACAUCAACCACUAUGUCCUUUAUUGUCCUAUUUACGAUGUGAUCAGGGGGAAAACACUAAUGAUAGAUAAACCUAAGGGGUUGGAUGUAGAACAUCUAUCUUUUUGUGGAUGCAAUUCCAUAUGUUGUCGUCAGUUUGGCACAUUUGCUAUGCUUUCUUUUAAACUCUGAAAUAAAUUUAUAUGUUCUAAAAUGUAGCUUUGGUUUUAGUUCAACCUAACUAAUGUAACUUCUCAGCAUGUUGUAUUUUCUUCAUCUAUGUUAUGACCUGUGGUCACAACAAUAAACUUAUUAUUUACAGUGUGA